UCGAGAAUCUUCGGCAAUGGGCGCAAGCCUGACCGAGCGACGCCGCGUGGAGGACGAAGGCCUUCGGGUUGUAAACUCCUGUCGAGGGGGAGAAAGGCCCUGAAAGGGGCUUGAUCGAUCCCUGGAGGAAGCACGGGCUAAGUUCGUGCCAGCAGCCGCGGUAAGACGAACCGUGCGAACGUUAUUCGGAAUCACUGGGCUUAAAGCGCGUGUAGGCGGAUUGGAACGUCGGCGCCUGAAAUCCCCCGGCUCAACCGGGGAACGCGGCCCGAAACGACCAGUCUGGAGGGACGUAGGGGGGUCUGGAACUUCCGGUGGAGCGGUGAAAUGCGUUGAGAUCGGAAGGAACGCCCGUGGCGAAAGCGAGACCCUGGACGUCUACUGACGCUGAGACGCGAAAGCUAGGGGAGCGAACG
rnacentral:rRNA from 1 species